UCCGGUUUGUCACCGGCAGUCUCAUUAGAGUGCUCAACUGAAUGUAGCAACUAAUGACAAGGGUUGCGCUCGUUGCGGGACUUAACCCAACAUCUCACGACACGAGCUGACGACAGCCAUGCAGCACCUGUCACUCAUCCAGCCGAACUGAAGGAAACCAUCUCUGGAAUCCGCGAUGAGGAUGUCAAACGCUGGUAAGGUUCUUCGCGUUGCGUCGAAUUAAACCACAUGCUCCGCUGCUUGUGCGGGUCCCCGUCAAUUCCUUUGAGUUUUAGCCUUGCGGCCGUACUCCCCAGGCGGGGCACUUAAUGCGUUAGCUUCGGCACGGGGGGAGUCGACACCCCCCACACCUAGUGCCCAUCGUUUACAGCGCGGACUAC
rnacentral:misc_RNA from 1 species